rnacentral:rRNA from 1 species
CCUACGGGUGGCAGCAGUGAGGAAUAUUGGUCAAUGGACGAGAGUCUGAACCAGCCAAGUAGCGUGAAGGAUGACUGCCCUAUGGGUUGUAAACUUCUUUUAUAUGGGAAUAAAAUGUGGCACGUGUGCCUUUUUGUAUGUACCUUAUGAAUAAGGAUCGGCUAACUCCGUGCCAGCAGCCGCGGUAAUACGGAGGAUCCGAGCGUUAUCCGGAUUUAUUGGGUUUAAAGGGAGCGUAGAUGGGUUGUUAAGUCAGUUGUGAAAGUUUGCGGCUCAACCGUAAAAUUGCAAUUGAUACUGGCAGUCUUGAGUACAGUUGAGGUAGGCGGAAUUCGUGGUGUAGCGGUGAAAUGCUUAGAUAUCACGAAGAACUCCGAUUGCGAAGGCAGCUUACUAAACUGCAACUGACAUUGAUGCUCGAAAGUGUGGGUAUCAAACAGGAUUAGAUACCCGGGUAGUC